ACGGGAGGCAGCAGUGGGGAAUAUUGCACAAUGGGGGAAACCCUGAUGCAGCGACGCCGCGUGAGUGAUGACGUAUUUCGGUAUGUAAAGCUCUAUCAGCAGGGAAGAUAAUGACGGUACCUGACUAAGAAGCCCCGGCUAACUACGUGCCAGCAGCCGCGGUAAUACGUAGGGGCAAGCGUUAUCCGGAUUUACUGGGUGUAAAGGGUGCGUAGGAGGCAUGGCAAGUCAGAAGUGAAAACCCGGGGCUCAACCCCGUGGAUUGCUUUUGAAACUGUCAAGCUAGAGUGCAGGAGAGGAAAGCGGAAUUCCUAGUGUAGCGGUGAAAUGCGUAGAUAUUAGGAGGAACACCAGUGGCGAAGGCGGCUUUCUGGACUGUAACUGACACUGAGGCACGAAAGCGUGGGGAGCAAACAGGAUUAGAUACCCUGGUA
rnacentral:rRNA from 1 species